rnacentral:rRNA from 1 species
AGAGUUUGAUCCUGGCUCAGGAUGAACGUUGGCGGCGUGUCUAAGGCAUGCAAGUCGAACGAUCCCAUUUACUUCGGUUUUUGGGAUAGUGGCAAACGGGUGCGUAACACGUCGGUAAUCUACCUCGAAGACGGGUAUAACUUUGCGAAAGCAAAGCUAAUCCCCGAUGGAAAUGGGGGGGCAUAAGUCAUUCCCAUUUAAACGCUCCGGCGCUUCGAGAGGACCGGCGGCCUAUCAGCUUGUUGGUGAGGUUAAAGCUCACCAAGGCUAUGACGGGUAGCGGGUGUGAGAGCAUGGCCCGCCUCACUGGGACUGAGACACUGCCCAGACUCCUACGGGAGGCUGCAGUCAAGAAUAUUCCCCAAUGCCCGAAAGGGUGAGGGAGCGACGCCGCGUGAUUGAAGAAGCCCUUCGGGGUGUAAAGAUCUUUUGCAAGGGACGAAUUCGUGACGGUACCUUGCGAAUAAGAGGUUGCUAACUCCGUGCCAGCAGCAGCGGUAAUACGGAGACCUCAAGCGUUAUCCGGAUUUAUUGGGCGUAAAGCGUCCGCAGGCGGCUUGGAAAGUCGUUGGUCAAAUCCUGAUGCUCAACAUCAGAACUGCCAGCGAAACUGCCGAGCUAGAGGAUGGGAGAGGCAAGCGGAAUUGUCGGUGUAGCGGUAAAAUGCGUUAAUAUCGACAAGAACACCAAAUGCGAAGGCAGCUUGCUAGAACAUUCCUGACGCUCAUGGACGAAAGCGUGGGUAGCGAAAGGGAUUAGAUACCCCUGUAGUCCACGCCCUAAACGAUGGACACUAGGUAUUGGAAGUAUCGACCCUUCCAGUGCCGACGAACCAAGCUAACGCGUUAAGUGUCCCGCCUGGGGAGUACGGCCGCAAGGCUAAAACUCAAAGGAAUAGACGGGGACCCGCACAAGCGGUGGAGCAUGUGGUUUAAUUCGACGAUAAGCGAGGAACCUUACCUGGGCUUGAACUUCAGCUGCAAGUCCUAUGAAAAUAGGAAGUCCUUCGAGGGUGCUGAAGAGGUGCUGCAUGGUUGCCGUCAGCUCGUGCCGUGAGGUGUACCGUUAAGUCGGGUAACGAGCGCAACCCCCAUUCUGUGUUAUACUUUCACAGAAGACUGCCUCGGUUAACGAGGAGGAAGGUGGGGACGACGUCAAAUCAGCAUGGCUCUUACGUCCAGGGCGACACACGUGCUACAAUGGCCAGUACAACGGGUUGCCAAACCGCAAGGUGGAGCUAAUCCCUUAAAGCUGGUCUCAGUUCGGAUUGUGGGCUGCAACUCGCCCACAUGAAGUCGGAAUCGCUAGUAACCGCGCAUCAGCCAUGGCGCGGUGAAUACGUUCUCGGGUCUUGUACUCACCGCCCGUCACGUCAAGAGAGUCGGUAAUACCCGAAGUUCGAUGUAGAUCGUUCGAAGGUAGGACCGAUGAUAGGGACGAAGUCGUAACAAGGCA